rnacentral:lncRNA from 1 species
AACUGAGUGGCUGUGAAAGGGUGGGGUUUGCUCAGACUGUCCUUCCUCUCUGGACUGUAAGAAUAUGUCUCCAGGGCCAGUGUCUGCUGCGAUCGAGUCCCACCUUCCAAGUCCUGGCAUCUCAAUGCAUCUGGGAAGCUACCUGCAUUAAGUCAGGACUGAGAAAGCAGAUGAGCGUCCCACUUUCAAAAUUCUUCUGAGCAAUAUUCUAGAUGUCAUGGAUGAAGAAUCCUGAGCUCGCCAAUAAGCUUCUUGGUUCUACUUCUCUUCUCCACAAGCCCCAAUUUCACUUUCUCAGAGGAAAUCCCAAGCUUAGGAGCCCUGGAGCCUUUGUGCUCCCACUCAAUACAAAAAGGCCCCUCUCUACAUCUGGGAAUGCACCUCUUCUUUGAUUCCCUGGGAUAGUGGCUUCUGAGCAAAGGCCAAGAAAUUAUUGUGCCUGAAAUUUCCCGAGAGAAUUAAGACAGACUGAAUUUGCGAUGAAAAUAUUUUUUAGGAGGGAGGAUGUAAAUAGCCGCACAAAGGGGUCCAACAGCUCUUUGAGUAGGCAUUUGGUAGAGCUUGGGGGUGUGUGUGUGGGGGUGGACCGAAUUUGGCAAGAAUGAAAUGGUGUCAUAAAGAUGGGAGGGGAGGGUGUUUUGAUAAAAUAAAAUUACUAGAAAGCUUGAAAGUC